rnacentral:misc_RNA from 1 species
AAAAGUUGUAUUACAUUAAUUAUACCAGCCACAAUUAUACAUGAUGUCCAGUGCAAAGCUUUACAGCUCACACCAAAGGCAAAGACAGAAUAGCACCUUUAUCUCCUAAUAAAAAACCACCAUAUCAAUAAUAUAAAUACAAUACAUGUUUGUCUUCUUUACUUUUUCCUCCACAACAACAACACUCAGAUUUACAUGAAAUUGCAUAAAAUUUAGCAGGACCAUCAAGGCUCCAUGAAAGUUCAUUGUAUUUGAGAAGCCACAGCAGACAAUUACAGAAUAAUAUGAAGUUUUUCAACUGAGGCUUCUAAAUGAACCUUCUCAAGAUUCAGCAGGGGGACUUUGGAUACAGCAAAGCCAUUUCUUAGGCGGUGCCUUGGCAGGAUCUGCUGCAGGCCUGCCAUGUGCAUCAACUUUUCCAGGUGAAUCAGGUUUGCCGCCUGUUUUCUUCUCAUCUCUAGCUUUGUUAAAAAUCACGGUAAAACCCUCAGCUGAUGUCGGAUCAUUAACAUCCCACUCACCAAAUUUUGGCAGUGGCCGACCUUUGUCCGUCAUGAAUUCUAGAGAGAGAACGUUUCGGAGGAAAAACAAUGGAAUUUCAAAUCAAUCAAAGUAGAGAAAAUAAG